GACGUAGGGCGCAAGCGUUGUCCGGAUUUAUUGGGCGUAAAGAGCUCGUAGGCGGCUUGUUGCGUCGACCGUGAAAACCCGCGGCUCAACUGCGGGCUUGCGGUCGAUACGGGCAGGCUGGAGUUCGGUAGGGGAGACUGGAAUUCCUGGUGUAGCGGUGAAAUGCGCAGAUAUCAGGAGGAACACCGGUGGCGAAGGCGGUGGUCUGGGCCGGCACUGACGCUGAGAAGCGAAAGCGUGGGGAGCGAACAGG
rnacentral:rRNA from 1 species